GUUCGUGACGGACUUCAGACGACUUUGGACUGCCAGGGACGGAACCGGGCCACACGCAGGUGGACUCGACAUACUUCCGGUUGUGAGGUGCCCCGAGUUCGACGGCAGACGGCCAGUCAGACCAGGUUCGGUUCGGCGCCGUUUCACGCCGUCAACGGAUGUGGCGCUCGACAAACAGGAAGGCAGCCAUGGCGGCGAGAUGAAACAACUUUUUCCGCCACUCUCGCUGCUGCUGCUGAUCAGCGCUGGCGUUGCGUUCACGGACGCCAGGUCCUUGAACCCAACGCACGGCCCGGACACCGCAGGUAGUGUGCGAUGGUGGAGCCCCCCGCUGGAGAGAACUCGACCCUUCGUGCUAGUGGGUGGGCAGAGGCGGAGCCUGAAGGAGGCACUGCAGGACGGUCACCCGGAGCAUCUGCAGUGUGGCCUGGAGGUCAGAGGUGAGGUCCUCGUGUUGGACCUGCAGAAGAACCGCGACCUCCUGCCCAAAGCGCCAAACAUUUUCUUCUACCUCCCCAACGGCACCGGAGUGUCCCUGACGGGCGACCCCGUGACGCAUUGUUAUUACCAUGGGAACGUAAGAGGAUUCCCGAGCUCUCGAGUGGCAAUCAGCACCUGCUCAGGACUCCGCGGCGUGAUCGCCGUCAACGCCUCGCUGAGUUUUGAGGUUCAGCCGCAGGAGCUCCGCCACAAUGGCGAAGGAGGCGAGGCCAGCGCAGGUGGAGGAGAAUAUGUGGGACACCACCUGAUCUUUUCAAGUGGUCCUGUGGCGGACGAGGCGGUGAGGGGCUGCGGGGUGACGCACGAGCGUGGCGACACACGCCGGCACGCCGGCGCUCACGCUCAACACAGAAACAAGCGGGAUCUCCUGUCCGAGACAAAAUACAUCGAGCUGGUUCUGGUGGCGGACCACCAGGAGUUCUUGAACUACCAGAAGAACAACAAGACCAUCAUCUACCGCAUGCUGGAUGUGGCCAAUCAGGUGGACUGGUUCUACCGCCCUCUGAAGGUGCGCGUGGCACUGACUGGUUUGGAGGUCUGGAGCGACCGGGACAAAAUCCGCGUGGAGAAGAACCCGAGCGCCACACUCAACAACUUCCUGCUCUGGCGGACAAGGGAGCUCCUGCCACGCCUUAGUCACGACAACGCGCAGCUCGUCAUGGGCAGUGCCUUGGAUGGCACCACAGUGGGCAUGGCGGCGCAGGCGUCCAUGUGCUCCAGAGACCGCUCGGGAGGCGUCAACGUGGACCACCUGGUCAGUGUUCUGGGCGUGGCGUCCACGGUGGCUCACGAGCUGGGACACAAUCUGGGCAUGAGCCACGACACCCGCGAGCGCCGAUGCCACUGCACCAACCAGCCUCGCAUGGGCGGCUGCAUCAUGGAACCCUCCACCGGGUUUCUGCCGGGUCAGCAGUUCAGCAGCUGCAGCGCGUCCGACCUGUCUGUCAGUCUGCUUCGGGGCGGCGGCAUGUGUCUGUUCAACGUGCCGCCGCCCGAGCGCCUCCUGGGCGGGCCCCGCUGCGGCAACCUCUACGUGGAGCCCGGCGAGGAGUGCGACUGCGGCCUGCUCGAGGAGUGCCAGGACCCCUGCUGCAACGCGUCCACGUGUCGACUGCACCCCGGCGCCCGGUGCUCGGCCGACGGCGUCUGCUGCCAGGACUGCGAGCUGCGGGCGGCGGGGUCCGUGUGCCGGGAGCCCAUCGGAGAGUGCGACCUACCCGAGUUCUGCACGGGCUCCUCCCCCUUCUGCCCGCCCAAUGUCUAUGUUCAGAACGGCGAGCCCUGUGAGGAUGGCGCCACCUACUGCUACAGCGGCGCCUGCGCCAGCAUGCGCACGCAGUGCCAGACGCUUUGGGGACCGAACGCCACCGCUGCACCGGCUGUCUGCUUCUCGUCCGUCAACAAACAAGGAAAUAAAUACGGAAACUGCGGGCAGCUUAGCAACGGGUCGUAUGCCACCUGCGCACACAAGUCAGUCAGACACACUGAGUGUGUGUGUAUGUAUGUGUGUGCAUGCAUAGAUCUUGUCUUGUCUGCUCUGCCAUCCCCGCUGCCCACGUGUGGGGGCACGUCCGUACUUUGCGUGUUGCGUUGCAGUGACGUGCAGUGCGGCAGGAUCCAGUGUCAGGGUGGCCUUGAGCGCCCCCUGCUGGGCACAAACACCGAGAUCCUGACCACCACGGUGCGCUUCGAGCUCCACGACCUGGUGUGCCGCGGGACGUUUUUCCACCUGGGAGACGACGUGUCCGACCCCGCUUCCGUGGCGCAGGGCACCGCCUGCGGCCCCGACAAGGCCUGCUUGGACAACAAGUGUCAGGACGUGUCCGUCUUGGGCGUGGACGAGUGCCGCAGGAAAUGCAACGGCCACGGCGUCUGCAACAGCAACAACAACUGCCACUGCCGACCGGGAUGGGCGCCGCCCGACUGCGCGUAUGCCGGGCACGGGGGCAGCGUGGACAGCGGACCCGCACGCGCCGCCGCAGAGUCGGAUCCGGUCCUGGUGGCCCUGCUGGUGCUCUUCCUCUUUGUCGUGCCAGCACUUCUCCUCUUCCUCGCUCUUCGCCUCCCUCGUGUGCGUCGCGCGUGUUUGACUUUGGGAGACAACAAACUCUUUCGCAAAUCCUCACAUAACCGGACCCCGGCGACGGAGCGCAGUUCAGAGCGCAACGUGGAUCAAGUCCGGCCGCUGAGGUUCCACGUCAACGCCCCCGAGACUCCGCCCCUCAAGGAGCUUCUUGACAGACCUGCUCCUCCCACUAAGCCACUCCCCCCCACCCCUCCACUAAACCCCUCGCCGCAGGGUGGAAUGUUCUAGAUCGGUAACAAGAUGUAGCUCUCUCUUUCAAAAAGGUUGGUGACCCCUGUUCUAGAAUGUUGUAGCAUUUUCUCAAAUAGCGUGUAGAAUGUUGUGUAGUGGCAAGAUGAUCUAAUAGAAUCUUCUAGAAUGUUGUAUCAGGUUCUUAAAUAGUGUGUAGAAUGUAGUCGCAUUCUAGAAUACUGGGCAGAAUGCUAUGUAGUGCUCUAGAGUGUUGUAGAAUGCAGUUGUGCUCUAGAAUGUUGUGUAGUGUUCCAGAGUGUUGUUGUGCAAAGUUUUAGCAUGUUCUCAAAUAGUACGGAAUGUUCCAGAUCAUUACCAAGUAGCUCUCGCUUUCAAAAAGGUUGGUGGCCCCUGUUCUAGAAUAUUGUAGCAGGUUCUUAAAUAGUGUGUAGAAAGUUGUGUAGUGUCAAGAAUGUUCUAGUAUAAUGCUCUAGAAUGUUGUAGCACGUUUUUAGUGUGUAGAAUGUUGUGUAGUGUCAAGAAUGUUCUCAAAUAGUGUGUAGAAUGUUGUGUGGUGUCUAGAAUCUUCUAGUAGAAUGGUCUAGUGUGUAGCAGAAUGCUGUGUAGUGUCGUAGAAUCCAGUUGUGUUGUAGAAAUCUGUGUAGAAUGUUGUGUAGUGUUCCAGAGUGUUGAAGUGGAAAGCUCUACAAUGUUGUAGCAUGUUCUCAAAUAGUGUGUAGAAUGUUGUGAAGUGCCUUGAAUGUUCUAGUAGAAUGUCCUAGAAUGUUGUAACACCUUCUCAAAUAUUGUGUCGAAUGUUGUUGAGGGACUUGAAUGUUUUCAUAGAAUGUUCUAGAAUGUUGUGGCACAUUCUCAAAUAGUGUGUCGAAUGUUGUGUAGUGUUCUGAAAUGUUUUAGUAGCGUAUUCUAGACUGUUGCUGUCGGGUCUGAAAUGUUGGCUAAUUUGUUGUUGUGACUUCAGCGUCCGGCUCCGCCUACAAAGCCUCUUCCACCCGCCCCUCCCACCAGAGGUGUUCAGCCGCUAGCAAGCCAACCAGCUCCGCCCACUAAGCCCCUCCCCCCUGACCCCGUGCCCCCGAGUCAG